GAGUUUGAUCCUGGCUCAUCAAACGAACGCUGGCGGCGUGGAUAAGACAUGCAAGUCGAACGAGAUCUCCGAAUAGCUUGCUAAUUGGAGUGACAGUGGCGGACGGGUGCGUAACACGUGAGCAACCUGCCCUAAAGUGGGGGAUAGCCUUCCGAAAGGAAGAUUAAUACCGCAUGUGGUCUUCGGACCAAAGGUGGCUUCGGCUACCGCUUUAGGAUGGGCUCGCGGCCUAUCAGCUUGUUGGUGAGGUAACGGCUCACCAAGGCGACGACGACCAAGGCGACGACGGGUAGCUGGUCUGAGAGGACGAUCAGCCUCACUGGAACUGAGACACGGUCCAGACACCUACGGGUGGCAGCAGUCGAGAAUCAUUCACAAUGGACGAAAGUCUGAUGGUGCAACGCCGCGUGGAGGAUGACGGUCUUCGGAUUGUAAACUCCUGUCAUCUGGGAGUAAGCCUUAAAAAAAAAAAAAACGUGCGUUGAUAGUACCAGAAGAGGAAGAGACGGCUAACUCUGUGCCAGCAGCCGCGGUAACACGUAGGGACCAAACGUUGUUCGGAUUCAUUGGGCGUAAAGAGCUCGUAGGCGGCUUCGUAAGUCAGAGGUGAAAGACCUGGGCUCAACCCGGGGACGCCACCCGAUACUGCUGUGACUCGAGUUCCGGAGAGGAAAGCGGAAUUCCUGGAGUAGCGGUGAAAUGCGUAGAUAUCAGGAGGAACACCAGUGGCGAAGGCGACUAUCUGGACCGGUUCUGACGCUGAGGAGCGAAAGCUAGGGGAGCGAACAGGAUUAGAUACCCUGGUAGUCCUAGCCGUAAACGGUGGGCACUAGGUGUAGGAGGUAUCGACCCCUCCUGUGCCGCAGCUAACGCAUUAAGUGCCCCGCCUGGGGAGUACGACCGCAAGGUUGAAACUCAAAGGAAUUGACGGGGGCCCGCACAAGCGGUGGAGCAUGUGGUUUAAUUCGACGCAACGCGAAGAACCUUACCGGGGCUUGACAUGCGCUGGAAAGGUGUGGAAACACACCCCCUCUUCGGAGUCAGUGCACAGGUGCUGCAUGGCUGUCGUCAGCUCGUGUCGUGAGAUGUUGGGUUAAGUCCCGCAACGAGCGCAACCCUUGUCGUUAGUUGCCAGCGAGUAAUGUCGGGCACUCUAACGAGACUGCCGGUGGUAAGCCGGAGGAAGGUGGGGAUGACGUCAAGUCCUCAUGGCCCUUACAUCCCGGGCUACACACGUGCUACAAUGGCCGGUACAAAGGGUUCCGAUGCCGCGAGGUGGAGGCAAUCCCACAAAGCCGGUCUCAGUUCGGAUUGCAGUCUGCAACUCGACUGCAUGAAGGUGGAAUCGCUAGUAAUCGCGAAUCAGCAGGUCGCGGUGAAUACGUUCCCGGGCCUUGUACACAC
rnacentral:rRNA from 1 species